rnacentral:rRNA from 1 species
CCUACGGGAGGCAGCAGUGAGGAAUAUUGGUCAAUGGGCGAGAGCCUGAACCAGCCAAGUCGCGUGAAGGAUGACGGCCCUACGGGUUGUCAACUUCUUUUGUCAGGGAGCAAUUGGGUCCACGCGUGGGCUUAGCGAGCGUACCUGAAGAAAAAGCAUCGGCUAACUCCGUGCCAGCAGCCUCGGUAAUACGGAGGAUGCGAGCGUUAUCCGGAUUUAUUGGGUUUAAAGGAUGCGUAGGCGGAAUAGCAAGUCAGCGGUAAAAGUUUGUGGCUCAACCAUAAAAUUGCCGUUGAAACUGGAAGACUUGAGGGUGUUUGAGGUAGGCGGAAUGCGUGGUGUAGCGGUGAAAUGCAUAGAUAUCACGCAGAACUCCGAUUGCGAAGGCAGCUUACUAAGCCAUAACUGACACUGAAGCACGAAAGCGUGGGGAUCAAACAGGAUUAGAUACCCCAGUAGUC